rnacentral:rRNA from 1 species
UACGAAGGGGGCUAGCGUUGCUCGGAAUCACUGGGCGUAAAGGGCGCGUAGGCGGCCAUUCAAGUCAGAGGUGAAAGCCCAAGGCUCAACCUUGGAACUGCCUUUGAUACUGUUUGGCUUGAGACCGGUAGAGGUAAGUGGAACUGCGAGUGUAGAGGUGAAAUUCGUAGAUAUUCGCAAGAGCACCAGUGGCGAAGGCGGCUUACUGGACCGGUUCUGACGCUGAGGCGCGAAAGCCAGGGGAGCAAACGGG